rnacentral:rRNA from 1 species
GUGGGGAAUCUUCCGCAAUGGACGAAAGUCUGACGGAGCAACGCCGCGUGAGUGAAGAAGGUUUUCGGAUCGUAAAGCUCUUUCGUUAGGGACGAACGUGCUCUUUGUGAAUAAUGAGGAGUAAUGACGGUACCUAAAUAAGAAGCCACGGCUAACUACGUGCCAGCAGCCGCGGUAAUACGUAGGUGGCAAGCGUUGUCCGGAAUUAUUGGGCGUAAAGCGCGCGCAGGCGGGAUAUCAAGUCUGUCUUAAAAGUGCGAGGCUCAACCUCGUGAGGGGACAGAAACUGGUAUUCUUGAGUGUCGGAGAAGAAAGUGGAAUUCCAAGUGUAGCGGUGAAAUGCGUAGAGAUUUGGAAGAACACCAGUGGCGAAGGCGACUUUCUGGACGAUGUCUGACGCUGAGGCGCGAAAGCUAGGGGAGCGAACGGGAUUAGAUACCCUGGUAGUCC